rnacentral:tmRNA from 1 species
UGAAAACAAUUAAUUGUUUUCAAGGCGGGAGGNNNNNNNNNNCCCGAGAUGCAGCAAAUAACUGCCAAAACAAAUUUAACCCCUGCUUUAGCUUUCGCUUAAGCAGCAUCGGCUGUCUGACGCCCAAUAGGACAACCCCGGUGUCAACCAUUGGGCUUUGGCUUGAUAAAUUCUUCGCUUCAGGCCGAAAUUAAGAAGAAUCGGAGCAUUUCUGUUUUGUCUGUCUUAAGGAAAUUCUCCUAAAACCUAAAACAGGCCAAAUCUGUAGAAAUAUUUAGCAAAUAAAUUCUAGAUGCGAGUUCAACUCUCGCCACUUCCACAA